GAACAUCUACUGAGUAGGCAUAUAUAUAUAGUGGUCGUGCUGAUACCAUAGAAACAUAUGCGCAAAUCAUUUGUCAUUUGUCCAACUUUUGCGUAAUGAUCUCCGACGACUCGACUACGAAUUAUCUAUUUAACCAACGAAUUACAACGUAAGAGAUUUUUUUGUUUGUCGUAACUAUGUUUUACCUAUUUACUAAACUAAAACGAAGAAUCGAUCUCACAUGACACAGGGGAGUUUGUGAUCGAUGUUUUGGAGUUUUACCAUUGACGGCUCAGUCUCAGACCUCCUGCGAAAGGUUUCCAUAGCUAAUCACUAGUUUAAGGUGUCUUACAAUUUGCUUUUACUCUUCUCCUUUUGCAACUCAUCCGGGAAGGACAUCAUAAAUAUCAUCGCUUCAUUUUGUUCCCAAAGCUUCUUGGCUUGGUUGAGUAGAUGGACCAAAAUUUUGGUUUAAUUACCAUCUUAUGCUUUAAUGUUUUUAUUAUUUUUUUGUCAUGAAACCAUAUGUAUACAAUUCAAUUUCUUAGAUUGUAACGUAAACCAUUUUCAUUAAUAA
rnacentral:lncRNA from 1 species